rnacentral:lncRNA from 1 species
CUCACACCCAGUGCUUCUCAUAAUUUAAAAAUGCUUGAAGCUGUGGGAGGCUGCCCGGCCCUCUGCAUUAUUCAAAAGAAAACCAGGAGGCAGCGACAAUUCUUGAUUCUUGCAGAUAAACAUUCUCCAACAACUAUUAAGAGUUGGAUUGCUCUACCUUCAUUUAAUUCCUUGGUGCUUUACUAUUUGAAUCUAGAAUAUUCUUGAAGUCUGAAAGAUGGAUAGAAAAGAGUCGUGUGUACAUCAUUGGGAAUGGAGGGAAAUAAAUGACUGGAUGGUCGCUGCUUUUUAAGUUUCAAAUUGACAUUCCAGACAAGCGGUGCCUGAGCCCGUGCCUGUCUUCAGAUCUUCACAGCACAGUUCCUGGGAAGGUGGAGCCACCAGCCUCUCCCUGAAUAACUGGGAGAUGAAACAGGAAGCUCUAUGACACACUUGAUCGAAUAUGACAGACACUGAAAAUCACGACUCAUCCCCCUCCAGCACCUCUACCUGUUGCCCGCCGAUCACAGCCGGAAUGCAGCUGAAAGAUUCCCUGGGGCCUGGUUCCAACUGCCCACUGUGGACUCUGAGGCCUCUGCAUUUGCGGGUGGUCUGCCUGUGAUAUUUUGGUCAUGGGCUGGUCUGGUCGGUUUCCCAUUUGUCUGGCCAGUCUCUGUGUGUCUUAAUCCCUUGUCCUUCAUUAAAAGCAAAACUAAAGAAAACAGAA